rnacentral:rRNA from 1 species
GUGAUGCGCGUGCUAUACAUGCAAGUCGAGCGAAUGGAUUAAGAGCUUGCUCUUAUGAAGUUAGCGGCGGACGGGUGAGUAACACGUGGGUAACCUGCCCAUAAGACUGGGAUAACUCCGGGAAACCGGGGCUAAUACCGGAUAACAUUUUGAACCGCAUGGUUCGAAAAUUGAAAGGCGGCUUCGGCUGUCACUUAUGGAUGGACCCGCGUCGCAUUAGCUAGUUGGUGAGGUAACGGCUCACCAAGGCAACGAUGCGUAGCCGACCUGAGAGGGUGAUCGGCCACACUGGGACUGAGACACGGCCCAGACUCCUACGGGAGGCAGCAGUAGGGAAUCUUCCGCAAUGGACGAAAGUCUGACGGAGCAACGCCGCGUGAGUGAUGAAGGCUUUCGGGUCGUAAAACUCUGUUGUUAGGGAAGAACAAGUGCUAGUUGAAUAAGCUGGCACCUUGACGGUACCUAACCAGAAAGCCACGGCUAACACCAUGCCAGAAAAACCAAAGGUA